rnacentral:lncRNA from 1 species
ACAUCCCGCACCCGAGGUUUCCGCCCCGGCGGGGAGACUAGCGCAGCGCGCACACACAACGUCUCUUAAAGGCUCCGCGAGAGGCUUUGGAUGGAAUCGGGGAGUUUGCCUCUCGCAACUUGGCGAUGUCACGAAUUCCGCCGCUCGCGCACCACCCGGGACUCCUGGCGCAUCUUAGUACCCACAAUGCCAAAGAAAAGUUCCCUGGUUUCUUUGCAGAGGGAUAGGGAGUGAGGGUGGGAAGGUGCCACGAACUGAGCUUGUAGGCAUUUUCCAAACGAAAGAGUUGGCCAGAUCCGGGUGAUGGCAAACCCUUCUCUUAAUUAACUCUGAUCACUUGUUCGGUUUGGUGACAUAUAUAUAUGACAUAUAUUCUUUUCAGAGGAUAAAGGCCGUUCUGUUUCUGUUUAUUCCUUGUAGGGUUAACAUUUCACAGGUAUGUGGCCUGACAUUUUAAUUGCCCAAAUAAAGCAUCUCGGAUGCUGAGAAGCAGAAAUAGACUUCAUCUGAUUGUCAUGAUGCAAUUAGAAUCAAUUUUCCUCAACUUUACCCUCUCUCGCUGGUUUUAGCUAACUCUCCAGCCAACAUCCUGCCACACACCCAGUCAUGGUGAGAGGGGAAAGACCUCUGCCCACUGAUGGACAGGAGGAGGCAGCCGCCCAGCCUCCCCUGUGCACACCCUCUGUACACACAUGUAAGCGCACAUGUAUCAGAUGCACAUUUGUCAAUGUACACAGACAAAGACUUCACCGACUAUGCUUCUAGGUCAUAGAACAGUUGAGUACGGACUUCAUUGUUCCUCAAGUUCCUUUUAAGCAUUCAUAUAGUCAUUAAAACGCACCCAGAGAUUCUGCCCCAAAUGGGAAAUAAUACUAGUACAGGUCACAAGAACCAAACCCAAGCCAUAUUCUACCUCAAGAAGUCACUGCAAAAAGAACAACUUCAUAGCCUAUUGCCAUUCUGCUCCAUGUGCUAAAAUAAUUGAGACAGUUGUGUCUUUGAAUUCCAGGGUGUCUGGUUUUAAACAUCAAACAUGUAGAAUUGCUCUCAGAACACACUAUAUUCCAACGCAGUAAACUUGUUGUUUAUGACCAGUUAGUGAAUUAUCAUUAUUCCACAUUUAUACAAGAAAAUUGUGUCUCCUUUGUACACACUUUGCACCAAGAAAAAACCUCAUGCCGGUAAACCAACCAGGUUUGUGAACAAUUAAAAUAUUUUACACAAAAGACGCUGAGCUCCAGGAAAGAAAUGAACACAUAUGAAGAGUAAAUUGAUGACCACAGAAAACAUCCUUGGUAGCUGAAAAAAAAAUUGACAGGGUAAAGAUAUUUUAAAAAUAAACCAUACAUAUAAUUGACAUGCAUAGAUCACAUUUUACAUUCAAUUCUCUUUACACACAUAGGCAGAAUAUGAGGUAAGGACUAAAGAUCUGGGCAGAUAGGGGCUGGUUUUUAGGAAAGGAAAAAUCUUCUUUAAGCUUCAUUCCCGAAACCUCAGCCCUCACUCUUUCUCCGAUGAAAUCACGUAUUUCACUAAAGCUGCAGGUUCUCGGUUUAUUUGAAAGUUGUUAAAAAAAAAAAAAAAAGCCCAGCAAACCUAUAGUGGACACUGAACUAUCAUAAACCUGGUGUGUAAUAAGAUUGCCACAGAAUGAAGCCAAGCUGAGAAUUUCAGGUUAAUUAGAGACACAAUAUAACUUUCUCCUAAAGAGGAUAAGAAGGAUGGAAAAGAAAUCAUUACACAGGAGAAGGUUUUUGGUAGUUGUUGUUGUUUUCCCUUCCAACCUCUAUGAUUCAGGAAUUGCUAAUGUUACAAAUGUCAGCAGAUUCGGGACAAGCUCAGCUGAGAUGUGAUGAGACUGGGGUUGAGAUAGGAAAUCUAAUGGGCAUUCCCAUCUCAAUAGAGGAUGAAAAUAAUUGAUUAUAGGGAAAUCUUCAUCUCACCUCCUGAAUGAGACUUCCAUAGCAGAUUACCUUUUACAAACAUGGGAAGGAACAAUAUCGAGGAGGAAGAGCUUCCCCAGUCCACUUAGAGAUUUUUGGAAUUUGAAGUAUGCGUGAUGGCCUUAGAUUAAAAUGGAAUAAUUUCCCAACCAUAUCUUAACAAAUUGGAGCCUGCUAGGCAAAUGAUCACAGGGCUGCCAUAAAGUCAGGGGUGUUUCACUCUGUAUUUUAGGACUCAUUCAGUUAUGAAAUGCUGUUACAAGGGAGAAAAAAAAUCACCGUAUGAAUUAUACUUAAUUUUAAUGCAUAGAAGAAGAGACAAGACUACAGACUGAGAAGAAAAAAGGGCAAAAAUAUUUUUAAAUGUCUUCUCCAGAGAUGCUCACUUGCUGUGCGUCUAAGGUUAAAAAGCUCUGAGAAGAUAAAAUCAAUAUAUUAUUGUUGUUUUUUAAAAAUCCAACUCAGUCUUUUUUUGCAGAUGUAAAUUUAUUAUAAUGAGAAGAAUGGCAAGCUUUAAUUUGCCUAGAGAAAGUUGGGACAACAUUUGCCCUAAUCUAAAAAAGAAAAGAAAGAAACUCAACACCCAGGAAUAUAAUUUUCUUGCAGAAAGUGGCCUGAUGGGCUGUAUUUCUUUACAGAUUGAAUCACAAUAUGAAUACAGACCCCAGCAAAUGCCGAGUUUAACUCUGAACUCAGUAGAAACCAGUUCCGUCCUCCAGGAUUCAUUGAAUUCCUCCUUUCCCUCAAUCUAGUCCGUGUGUGUUUUUCUCUUCCACCACACUGGAGCUCCAUGAAUAGGGAAAGGGGCUUCCAUUGUGUCCCUCUGAACUUCCAAGUCAAUGCAAUUUUUAACCACUGGCUUGUGGUACUUUGAAAAUCACCAGGGGCUGUCAGAGUUAGGUCCUCUGAAAAAUUUACAGUGCUAAAUCAGAGCAUAUGCUGGGAGGGAAAAAAUUGCUUAAGAUUAGAGCAAGUACAGUAUCUGUCUGCCCCCUAGUGUAAGAGUCCUCGCUGCCUAAAAUUCAACUUUAAAAGAAAAGGAGCUCUUAAAGGGAAACGACUUUGGACUCACGUAGGCAUAGGAGAACGAAACUUCUGUACAUUUUAAUCUGAAUAAUUCUUCAGGAUUUAAAAUUAAUUGGCUCUGGCUUGGUUGGACCGUACUCGGAUCUCGCCACCUCUGCGUUUCCCGAGUCACUGGCGAAGAGGUCCCAGUUCCUCUGGGAAUCGUCCUGUAUGCAACAUCUUCACAAGAGUGGCAGGCAGUUGAAUCUCUGGCCUUCGUGGGACCACUGGACAUCUGGCAGAGAACCAGGAAACCACGGUUCCCUUCUGUGAGUCCCUCAGCCGGAAAACUACAAGCUCCUCAUGCAGCUGCUGUCUACAGACCCCCUGGACUGCCUGGGGAAGUGAGUCGGAGCUCCUGCAGCAGAGGGGUGGAACAGCUACACGAAGAUCCGAAGGUGGCCAAAAAUAACAGCGCUUUCCAGAUGAGGGAGCCAGUUGUCCAGCACAGUGUCAUGGGACAGUGGGCCCUGGUGCCACAAUGCCCGGCAUCUCCACCAGAUACAGCUUUGAGAUCUUCAUGAUGAAGCUUGCUCCAAUCCAAGGGCUGUCAGGUGGGGUUUGCGGUUCAGCUGCUAACCUUUCUUUGAUCCAAAUCCUGUCUUCACUGGCUUCAAGAAUCCUGUCUUCACUGGCUUCAAAACUGGGAUGAAGGAGGCUCCUUAGUGGAGAGCAAAGCAAAGAGAAACUCAAAUUGGAUCCAUAUUAAAGAAGAGAAGGAUGGAUUUGUUUAGACAACACAAACCUAGGAAGGGUUUGAGAGGUGAAACAAACUGGGUUAUGGAUGAACGGGGGCAAUUGGAAUGUAGAAUUGAAGCAGUAAUUAACAUCUUGACCCAGUUUUGGUGACUUGGUCACUGCAGACCUUUCAGAAUGUGUGGUGCUCAUUCUUGUUAAACCAGUUGAGAAUUUCCCCAAUCCUUUGGCCCUGCGCACAAGUGUAGCUGCUCUUCCAAUCAAUGGGACCUUUGUAUGCAGCAGGGCGGAAGGAUAUUAUUAUGUGACAAAUGACCACAGGGAAACUCCCAUUAUUUUCCUUGUGUCUGAGAAAUUAUAAAUGUGUAAUAAGGAACACUUUGUAGUAACCCUUGUUAAUUUAUGAUUUUAAAUAUGAAUGUGAAUUUAUUGGAAUGACACAAUAAAGAGUCACCAUGGGCACCGAUUAUAAUUAUCACCAAGUACAAUGAAGCAGAGAAAGAAACUAUCUCGCUCCUAAAUGGCAUCAUCCAUAUAAGCCUUGCCUUGUUCAAAGCUACUCUGUAGUAUUUUCUUUUAAAUAAAAUAAAUAAGGCACAAAUAAACAACAUAACCUAAAGAGGAGAUGGAAUGGUCUAUUUCUUUUUGUUUUUUGGAAGCUAAAUUUUUGAGAUAACAUUAAAGAUAAAAAUCAGCAAGACACCUCUGGGCUACGAGAGGCUACUCUUAUGUCACAUGUCCAUUUAUCACCAUCAUCUUCUCUAUGUUCUCUUCCCUUCCCCCCACUUUCUCCUCCUCCUACUUCUUGAUUAGCCAGUCAGAUGUCUUAUUCUUCUGAAGGAAGUGAUUUGUUCAGAGAUGGGUACAUGAUACCAGGCUCUGCCAAUACAAGGCUUGCCUGAGACAUUGGUUGGAGAUGUAAAGAAAGAAGUAUGCUCACUUCUAGAAGAGCCACAUAUAAACCAUUAACUGCAGUGAAGAAAGCCUGAUGAAGGAUGCCAAUGGAGAAGGAAGCAGAGCAGCACAGAGCAGGAGCAAUAGUUAGAUGCGCAUGAUGACAUUACUUGAGUACCUGGAUCCAGCCACACCUGAAAACUGAACUCUCUAAACUCCUCACUUAUUGGAACUAAUAUGUUUCUCCUUUUUGGUUUUAGUUGGUUUCAGUUGACUUUUUACUCAUGGCAAACCAAAGAUUUUUUUUUUUUUUUUUGAGACACAGUCUCAUUUUAUCACCCAAGCUGGAGUGCAGUGGCGCAAUCUUGGCUCACUGCAACCUCCACCUCCCGGGCUCAAGCAAUUCUCCUGUCUCCACCUCCCAGGCAGCUGGAAUUGCAG